AUUGAACGCUGGCGGCAGGCCUAACACAUGCAAGUCGAGCGAGCGGCGGACGGGUGAGUAAUGUAUGGGGAUCUGCCCGAUGGAGGGGGAUAACUACUGGAAACGGUAGCUAAUACCGCAUACCAUCAGAUGAACCCAUAUGGGAUUAGCUAGUUGGUGGGGUAAAGGCUCACCUAGGCGACGAUCUCUAGCUGGUCGGAUAGGAUGAUCAGCAACACUGGGACUGAGACACGGCCCAGACGCCGACGGGAGGCAGCAGUGGGGAAUAUUGCACAAUGGGCGCAAGCCGGAUGCAGCCAUGCCGCGUGUAUGAAGAAGGCCUUAGGGUUGUAAAGUACUUUCAGCGGGGAGGCGUUACCCGCAGAAGAAGCACCGGCUAACUCCGUGCCAGCAGCCGCGGUAAUUC
rnacentral:rRNA from 1 species